GCUGGGCUGGCUCAGUUGUUACAGCACAAAACUCCUCCUCUCAGGGUCGUGGGUUCCAGCCCCACGUUGGGUG